rnacentral:tRNA from 2 species
AAAAACAUAGUAUAAUUAUAAUAUAUCUCACUUACACUGAGAAGAUAUUUAGGACUAAAUUGUUUUUA